CGGCUACCAUGGGAACGCUCAUCAUAACAAACACGACAUUCGAAACGACGUCAACGGCUUAUUUGAGUACGGCGCAAAAGUUCGAAUGCAUGUUCAACUAUACCUUCAACAAUGAAACAUCGUACGUUUUGAAGUCGUCAACCAGCAAAGUGAUCAUAAGCGGUAUUCCAGCUCUAUUUUUCUGGAUGUGUCUAGAAUUCCACGAAAAUCACACGGACGCCUAUUAUUUUUACAUAAAUACACGUGGAAAGUGUCCUCCCGGACGACUCUUCGGACUGUACAGACUAAUUUGGGACG